UGGGGAAUAUUGGACAAUGGGCGCAAGCCUGAUCCAGCCAUGCCGCGUGAGUGAUGAAGGCCCUAGGGUUGUAAAGCUCUUUCACCGGUGAAGAUAAUGACGGUCACCGGAGAAGAAGCCCCGGCUAACUUCGUGCCAGCAGCCGCGGUAAUACGAAGGGGGCUAGCGUUGUUCGGAUUUACUGGGCGUAAAGCGCACGUAGGCGGACUUUUAAGUCAGGGGUGAAAUCCCGGGGCUCAACCCCGGAACUGCCUUUGAUACUGGAAGUCUUGAGUAUGGUAGAGGUGAGUGGAAUUCCGAGUGUAGAGGUGAAAUUCGUAGAUAUUCGGAGGAACACCAGUGGCGAAGGCGGCUCACUGGACCAUUACUGACGCUGAGGUGCGAAAGCGUGGGGAGCAAACAGG
rnacentral:rRNA from 1 species